AUCUUCUUCUUCUCCUCCUUCU
rnacentral:sRNA from 1 species